rnacentral:rRNA from 1 species
AGCAGCCGCGGUAAUUCCAGCUCCAAUAGCGUAUAUUAAAGUUGUUGCAAGUUAAAGCUCGUAGUUGAAUUUCGGGAUCAAUAUGUUGGUCGUGUCUCAGUACGUACUAGCUUAUUGGUUUCUCCUUUCUGAAGAACCAUGAUGUCAUUUAUUUGGUGUCGUGGGGAAUCAGGACUGUUACUUAGAAAAAUUAGUAGUUUAAAGCAGGCUCACGCUUGAAUACAUUAGCAUGGAAUAAUGAAAUAGGACGUUUGAUUCUAUUUUGUUGGUUUUAGGAUUGACGUAAUGAUUAAUAGGGAUAGGUUGGGGGCAUUAGUAUUCAAUUGUCAGAGGUGAAAUUCUUGGAUUUAUUGAAGACUAACUACUGACGAAAGCAUUUGCCAAGGAUGUUUUCACUAAUCAAGAACGAAAGUUAGGGGAUCGAAGACGAUCAGAUACCGUCGUAGUCUUAACCAUAAACUAUGCCGACUAGGGAUCGGAUGAUGUUAAUUUUUUAAUGACUCAUUCGGCGCCUUACGGG